GAAGGCGGGACGAGAGAGAGAGGGAGAGAGAGAGAGAGAGAGAGAGAGGGAGAGAGAGGGAGAGAGAGAGAGAGAGCGAGGGAGAGAGAGGGAGAGAGAGAGAGAGAGAGAGAGAGAGAGAGAGAGAGAGGGAGAGAGAGAGAGAGAGCGAGGGAGAGAGAGGGAGAGCGAGAGAGAGAGAGAGAGAGAGAGAGAGAGAGAGGCUGCUGCAGUGUGUGUGACUCAGAGUCAGUGUGAGUCUGACUCAGUGCGUGUGUGCGCGCGCCCGUGUGUGUGUGUGUGUGUGUGUGUGUGUGUGUGUGUGUGUGUGUGUGUGUGUGUGUGUGUGUGUAGGCAGCCAGCAGUCAGUGUGACUGCGAUCACUGGAGCGUGAGGAAGGCAGAAAAUUGUCUGUGUGUGUUUCUAAUGUGGUGUGUGUGUCUCUCUCUGUGUGUGUUGUUUCCUUGCAGAAAAUGCUGAUCUCUCUCUCUCUCUCUCUCUCUCUCUCUCUCUCUCUCUCAUUCUUGUGAUGAAUUGAAGUUCUCUGACAUGUGUUUCUCGGGGCGAUCGAGGAUGCUGACUGCAGCCUCAAUAAAACCCCGUCUCUCUUUCCUUUUCUGUCUCUUCCAGUCUCUUUCUUUAUCCCUCUCUCUGUCUCUGUCCUCCCUCCCUCUCCCUCUCUCUCUCUCUCUCUCUCUCCCUCUCUCUCCCUCCCUCUCUCUCUCUCUCUCCAUUUUCUCUCUAAUUUGCAGGUGAAACUUUCGGACUCGUGCACAAACAGCAAACAGAAGAAUCAGACCUUUUUAUGAGUGAAUUUGUCUCUGAGUUUCUGCUGCUUCUCUAUAAACUUCAUUUACUCUCUAACAACAGAGCGCUUUAAUAAAACUCUAUCAUGUCAGACUUACACCUCUGUGAAUUCAUUCAUCCUCUUUAUGAUUUUCAGCUCCACAAUAACAGACCCUGAUUCUGCAUGUUGUCAAAGGUGCACAUGUUCACUGAAUAUACACACCAGCGGCCAUAUUGCAUGACUCUUUAGAGACACAGAUGCAGGAAAGGACUGAUUAUUUCACGCACUCUCUGCAAAACUGUUGUUUAAACUAGGGCUGUCCUGACACGAUAUUGAUAUCGACUAUCGGUCCGAUAUCAACAAAAAAAAUCAAUAUAGGUUUACAUCGGCCUGCAUCAAAAACCUCCCAUAUCAGCACUCCGAUACAAGCAGUCCAUUCCAGACUCUGAUCCAGCACCUCUAACUAGCUGAUCCAGUUUACAGAGUCCACAUGAUCACAACACCAGUGUGGACUGAGUUACUAACAAAGUAGAGAGGAGUAGGAGUGAUGUCGGCUGUGUGGCAGCAUUUUUCGUUAAAGUCCGAAAAAGACGUCACAGCUGAGUGAAAAACUUGUCAUGUACAAGUUCGGGACACCCCUAAAAAAAAAUGAUGCAAACUGCACCACAAGAGUCCAGUCUGGUUUGACUUACAUGUGAUCAUGGAGGGUCUGCAGGUCUGUGUAUGAACAGAUGAAACUUCAAGAGUCCAAAACAAGAAGGAGCGUUUGUUUACAGAUGGAUGGGAGUCACAGCAGCUCCAGAGGUCUGAUAGGGUUUCAUAGGAAGGACUGGAUUUGAGUUGCACCAUGCAGUACACAUGCAAAAGUUGAAACCAGGUGUAAAACUUUCUUUUUUUCUGUAUUUAGUCAUUUUUAACUUUGUUUGAUAUUGUUACACCUGAUUUUACAGAGUCUAUUUCACAGUCCUUGUCCCUGGUUUGGCUUUUGGGAUGGUGCGAGCUCAACUACUGGCCGCCACAGUCGGGUUAACUCUUUUCGUGUUGCAUCUGCAAAAACAAAUAAUCUUUCUGACACUGAAAACUGUUUCAAACUAACUUAAAAUCAUCUAAACUACAUGAUCUAUCAGGAUUUAAAGUCGUGUUUUCAUUCUGGUUCUUCAGCUGACUGACAUCCGUCUGUUUUUCUCUAAAUUAUACAUUUCUAACAGCGAUGUUUACGGGAUAUAACUGAUGGAUUUCAUGGCUGCGAAACACACAGAGGCUUCAAAAUUGUUACUAAAAUGCACGGCAGGCCUGUGAACAUAAUCUCCACAUACACUCAGUCAGACAGAGCGAGACUAAAACCACUAAAUGUGGAUUUUGCUGCAAGAAGAGAAAAGUAUAUUAUAUUUUAAGUAAAUAUAUUUCAGCGUUACAGUGUCCAGUUUUAGAUUGUUCCUGAAAACGAGCUCGCAGAGACCUGGAUCCCGGUCUCAGACCUUAAUAAGAGACUGUCAGAUCCCUAAAGACCUGUCAGAUCACCAGUCACUGUUUGUAUUUUUAUCUCCAACCAAAAAAACUCUGAACUCUACAUCUGAAAGUUUAUAACCUCAUUUCUUAAGAGUCGAAUUUUGGACGAAUUGCCCCGUCUUCAGACCUUCUUUCUCGAGCUACUGUGGAACCGGUUUUUCUGAGAACCAGUUCUUUGGCGGUGGAAAACCAAAGACCUGAGUCUGGACUAGGACUUGAACCGACUUGGUGUAAAAAGGAGUAUCGUCCAUCUUUGAUCGAGACAUUAUUUCAUCACUCUGAUCAUGCAUCAUGACGGUCUGUAAAAACAUAAAGUUACAGUUGAUUUGAGGAGGACUGAGCAGCGUGUACCUGCUGUAAUUACAUAAGAGGAAGAUCCUGAAGAAGAGGAGACGGAGCCUGAGUUUGGUGAGGGGGCGUUUAAAGGGUUAAAGGGAGAUCUCAGCUCUCAUUCAGCGGCGUGUCUUACAGGCUGUGGUGUACUCCUCUUCUUCCUCAUCACUAUUCAUCUCCUCUGCCUCCCGCUCCUCUCUGCCCAUAUUUGGAUUUUCUGGUUUCUCUCUUCCUGACAGAAAUAGCUGCUGGUAAACCCAAGAUGCUGUUUCAUAAG
rnacentral:lncRNA from 1 species